GACGAACGCUGGCGGCGUGCCUAAUACAUGCAAGUAGGACGCUGAAGGAGGAGCUUGCUUCUCUGGAUGAGUUGCGAACGGGUGAGUAACGCGUAGGUAACCUGCCUGGUAGCGGGGGAUAACUAUUGGAAACGAUAGCUAAUACCGCAUAAUAGUAGAUGUUGCAUGACAUUUGCUUAAAAGGUGCAAUUGCAUCACUACCAGAUGGACCUGCGUUGUAUUAGCUAGUUGGUGGGGUAACGGCUCACCAAGGCGACGAUACAUAGCCGACCUGAGAGGGUGAUCGGCCACACUGGGACUGAGACACGGCCCAGACUCCUACGGGAGGCAGCAGUAGGGAAUCUUCGGCAAUGGACGGAAGUCUGACCGAGCAACGCCGCGUGAGUGAAGAAGGGUUUCGGAUCGUAAAGCUCUGUUGUAAGAGAAGAACGAGUGUGAGAGUGGAAAGUUCACACUGUGACGGUAUCUUACCAGAAAGGGACGGCUAACUACGUG
rnacentral:rRNA from 1 species